GUGGGUAUGGAUUAAUGGUAAAUCGGCUGCCUUCCAAGCAGUUUAUAUGGGUUCGAAUCCCUUUACCCACU
rnacentral:tRNA from 1 species